AAUUAUAUUUUAGUCUUACAUGUGUUCACGGUUUGUUUGGGCGAUUUUACUGUGUGGUGGUUGUACGGACCGAAAAUGUCGGCUGUUAGAAUAUCAGAAAAAGUAAUGAUGGAUGAUUAUUUGAAAAUAGAGAAAAUUGGUGAAGGGACAUAUGGAGUGGUGUAUAAGGGCAGGCACAAGGCCACAGGCCAGGUUGUUGCUAUGAAGAAGAUUCGUCUGGAGAGUGAGGAAGAGGGAGUUCCCAGCACUGCUGUCCGAGAAGUGUCUCUGCUUCAGGAGCUGAAGCAUCCCAAUGUUGUACGACUUCUGGAUGUCCUGAUGCAAGAGUCUCGUCUCUACCUCAUCUUUGAGUUCCUUUCCAUGGACCUGAAGAAGUACCUGGACUCCAUUCCUUCUGGCCAGUACAUGGACCCUAUGUUGGUCAAGAGCUACCUUUAUCAAAUCUUGGAGGGUAUUUACUUCUGCCACUGUCGUCGCAUCCUCCACCGGGACCUAAAACCCCAAAACCUUCUGAUUGACAACAAGGGGGUUAUUAAACUGGCUGAUUUUGGCUUGGCUCGUGCCUUUGGUGUUCCUGUGAGGGUCUACACACAUGAGGUUGUUACGCUCUGGUACCGAGCACCAGAAGUUCUUCUGGGUUCACCCCGAUAUUCAACCCCUGUUGAUGUUUGGAGCACUGGCACCAUUUUUGCUGAACUUGCCACAAAGAAGCCCCUGUUCCACGGAGACUCUGAAAUAGACCAGCUCUUCAGGAUUUUUCGCACUUUGGGAACUCCUAAUAAUGAUGUGUGGCCAGAAGUAGAGAGCCUUCCUGACUACAAAAACACUUUUCCUAAGUGGAAAUCUGGAAAUCUGUCAUCAAUGGUAAAAAACCUGGAUAAGAAUGGCCUUGACCUACUCGCGGGGGCAAUAAAGAGCUGAGCCAACUAUUAAAAAAGCAAAAGAUAACUGGAAGCCUGAUGCUGCUGCUCACCCUAAAACAUUGACCUACAAUCCUCCAAAGAGAAUCUCUGCCCGGGAGGCCAUGACUCACCCAUACUUCGAUGAUUUGGAUAAAUCCACUUUGCCUGCAGCCACCAGCAACAAAGUUUAAAACCCUUGCAGAGUUUACAUACUCAAUGAAUUAUCUGUAAAUACUUGUGUGUAUGUGCAUGUGAGACAUCCUGUUGUAGACCAGAUUAGUGACGUUUCCUUUUAUUGGCGUCUCAAUAAAGCAUUUGUGUGAGAACCUCAAUAA